CAAGAAGGAGCCAGCCUAGGAAGAGGUGGGGGCUGGGGAGAAGGCUGGAGAUUGAGGAGCGGCACACGCAAGAGAAAACUCCGAGGUGGCACGGCAUGGCCAGUGGCCAAUCAGAACAGACACCAGCUGUGGACGCCCAGCACGGCAGACCGCUGCCUGCCAGCUGAACGGGAGCCCCGGCGUGCAGAAAGAGGAAGAGGGAAAGGCACAAGGCUCUGUGAGCUGAGUCAACUCCAGUUUUUAAGGAGCCUUCCUGGAAGAUGAACUCAACUACUUCCCGUACACUGCUGACCAGAAAUAGCCUGGCAACGGGAUCUGGAAGGGAAGCUGGGAAAUGUAGAUUUUUUUAGCUGGUUUAUUGCCACUGCUUCCGAAAAUCAAAGUCUACCCCCAGGUACAUAGUUGUGUAUUCUUCGUUGUGGGUUCUUCUAGUUGUGACAUGUGGGACGCCGCCUCAGCGUGGUCCGAUGAGCAGUGCCAUGUCCGCGCCCAGGAUUCGAACCAACGAAACACUGGGCCGCCUGCAGCGGAGCGCAUGAACCUAAC
rnacentral:lncRNA from 1 species